rnacentral:rRNA from 1 species
CNACCUGCCGUCUACUCUUGGACAACCUUCUGAAAGGAAGAUUAAUACAAGAUGGCAUCAUGAGUCCGCAUGUUCACAUGAUUAAAGGUAUUCCGGUAGACGAUGGGGAUGCGUUCCAUUAGAUAGUAGGCGGGGUAACGGCCCACCUAGUCUUCGAUGGAUAGGGGUUCUGAGAGGAAGGUCCCCCACAUUGGAACUGAGACACGGUCCAAACUCCUACGGGAGGCAGCAGUGAGGAAUAUUGGUCAAUGGGCGAGAGCCUGAACCAGCCAAGUAGCGUGAAGGAUGACUGCCUUAUGGGUUGUAAACUUCUUUUAUAAAGGAAUAAAGUCGGGUAUGGAUACCCGUUUGCAUGUACUUUAUGAAUAAGGAUCGGCUAACUCCGUGCCAGCAGCCGCGGUAAUACGGAGGAUUCGAGCGUUAUCCGGAUUUAUUGGGUUUAAAGGGAGCGUAGAUGGAUGUUUAAGUCNGUUGUGAAAGUUUGCGGCUCAACCGUAAAAUUGCAGUUGAUACUGGAUAUCUUGAGUGUAGUUGAGGCAGGCGGAAUUCGUGGUGUAGCGGUGAAAUGCUUAGAUAUCNCGAAGAACUCCNAUUG